GAGAAGACCAGAGAAAGGCAUGUGAGGAAGAGAAUCAUUGAAUUAGAAAUUACAGAUUCUGCCUUGCUUUCCAUAAGUGGUUAGAACAUAAAAAUAACCUCCAAACUCAGGCUCCAGUUUGAGUUCCACAAGUCCUGAUUAACCACAGCCUAAUGAGAGGAGAUGUCAUGCAUUCCUCUAGUCUCUCUAGUGAACACUGGAAAGCUCCACAUCCUACAGGCUGGGGAGCCAGGGCAACAACUCAGCUUCUCUCCAGAUGCGUGUCUGUCACUGUCCUUAAGCUGCUGGCCCAGCAGUUACCAGCUGCUCAUGGCUUCCCUGGUGGCUCAGGCGGUAAGGAAUCCGCCUGCAAUGUAGGAGACCCAGGAUUGAUCUGUGGUUGGGGAAGAUCCCCUGGGGAAGGAAAGGGCAACCCACUCUAGUAUUCCUGCCUAGAGAAUCCCGUGGACAGAAGAGCCUGGUGGGCUACAGUCCAGGGGUCAGAUCACAGGGCUGCUCAGCCUCCACAAUUUCAUGAUGCAAUUCCCCAUAAUAAAUCUCCAUACUUGUGUGUGUAUGUGUGUGUUUAACAGAAGUACAUAGACCCAAUGGGUUUUGUUUCCCUGGAGAGUGUUGACUAAUACAACACCCUUCUUCAAAAGAGUUCUGAGUUCUUCCAUGAACAUUUUGCAUUUAUUUAUCUCCACCCUAUCUUGUAAUAGGAAUUGUGAACAGAUGAACUGUGUGAGCCUAUCUAACCUCUCUGGUGGGCGGAGCAUCCGGACCUACAGGGAGGUGAGGCAGGACACGGGGAGCGAGCCCCAGGCUGUGCAGUGCUCACAGCCCUCUUGGCCUCACGGUGGCUGCCUCUGCCCGCUUUGACAGCACUCGCUCCUCUCCAUGGCCUGGUACCCAUCGGGCUCUCUCUGCCAGGCCCCAAGCGAGGACAUUCCUAAUCCAAGCUGAGAACAUUGCACUUUCCUCUUUAUGUGGAGCUUAAGGUCAGAGGCUGCUGGUUCUCAUGAUUUCAGAAACUCACACACACAUUCCUCGGUGUGAAGCACUCCUGAUUGGGCCUCACGAGCACAGGGAGAACAGGGAGGGGACUGGCAGGGCCAGGCAGGUGUCAGAGCCCUCCCAACCAUCAGCACCGCUC
ensembl:lncRNA